rnacentral:lncRNA from 1 species
GCGACGUGGCAGUGACGUGAGCGCUUCUGCUCCGUCUUCUUCAUUCCAGCUCGGAGAUCGGGCGAAUUUACCGGCGACGAGAUUUACCCUUCGAUCAGGCUCUCAUCUUCUAUUUAAACUUCGUUUUCCUGAAACCCAAACCCGACCUCUCAUCCUUGGCGAUUUCCUCAGCCAGAUACUCACUCUUCGCGAUAGACGAGCGGAGAAAACAAUCCUUCAACUCUCUGUUCGAAGCGGCGGCGACGACGCACUCUAUUUCGUCUUCCCUAAUUCUGGGAGCUUGAGAGGUAAGUCGUAAAGCUGGAAUCUUGAUCCAAUAUUGUCCCUUCCGUUUAACUCCAUUCACAUGUCCAGAACGCUUUGGUUUUUGUUCGGUUCCAGGAGCUCUUAGCAAUUUCUCGACUGCGUCAAUCUUUUGGAAAUUUUGGAUUACGACCUCUGGACCGAUCCAAACCCUCCAAAGCCUCUUGCUAGCAUCGGACGAAGGUUAGGAAGUGUUUCCAUUAAUUAGUUUGGAUUUCGGUCGAGUUUCCUUGCGUAUUAAGUCUGCCGGAGUUGGGUUCACCUUCGCCGGAUUCUGCGUUUUCCUCCAAGAUAUUUUGGGGAAGAUGACUCUGGAAAAUGUCUAUGUCGACGCCUAGAAGUUUCUGUGAUUACGUUUCAGUCACUGAAUUCUAAAAAAUUAAAAUCAGUACCUCUUGUGUUAGGAGACUGCUCUUGGAGUAAAAACUGUUAGGAUCUCACAGUUUAGCCAUUAGCUUUCUCGUGGCCGCUGCCGCGGCUAGAACUUUCUAGUUGGGACAGUUUGCACCCAAAAUGGUUAUAGAAGUCCCUUAAGGCCUUGAAUUAGCUCUAAUCGGUAUUAGAAUUUUAGUAAUCUAAUUCAGAUUUGGUAACAUGACCCUACACUCAUAAAUUAAUUAAGUAAUAGUAUUUCAUCAAGAUUACUAAUUAAAAGUAAAUGCAAUUAGGAUUUAUAGUUAAUUGAAUUAGAUCUUCUCUUCGAUUCCAAUUUUCCUAUCUCAAAAUUAGCACUUAUAGGAUAUAUUGAACAAUAUACUUCUUCAAGUUAUUAGUUAAUCUCUUUAGCUCGAAUUCUUCAAAUUGGUCCCUUUCCGUCAAAUCACAGUAAUUGUGAAGACAAGUCCUUGAAUAUCGCAAGCCGUCGGCCAGACUAUCUCAACACGUGUUGGAAUUUAGUCCAAUGUAUCAAUCUUCGUCUUCAGGUCAUCAAAGAUGUACCGACUUUUCAGCUUAGAUCUCAAUUCCUCGUGUUGGAACCUCUUUGCCUCUUUAUCAAGUGGGUGGUUUAAAGGGGUAAAUUCAUAUCGUUCCUGUAGUUAUGUUAUGUUUACAUUAUGUAGUUAUGUUUAUGUCAUCUACUUUAUUCUUAUUAUGCUCGUAUGUGCCUAUAUGACUAAGUUAGCUAGAAGGUGAUAUGACUAGCUAAUUAGUGAACAAGAAAGAAUUGCCCUACGCCUAAACCACUAGUAGACGAUCUAGUAGUCAAGUGCGACAUCAGUAUGUACCUCUCUAGCUAGACCCCAAUCUAGAAUCUCGGCAUACAACUUUGGACCACUAAAGAUCUAAAGCUUAGCUAAUUGGGCCACUAGAGACCCACUGUUAUCAAUUGGGCCACCAGAGACUCAAUGUUAACAUUUCGGACCACCAGAUAUCCGUUAUUAGCUAUUGGGCCACCAGACACCCAUUAUUAGCUAUUGGGCAACCAGAGACCCGAUGUUAGCUUGGGGGCCAUCAGAGAACCUAUGAUAGUACUGGGCCAUCAGAGACCCAAAGUGUUAUCAUACGUCUAACAAAUGGACGGUAGGGCUAGUUAGUGAGAAGAGGGGACGACCUACAAGAAUUAAGAAACCCUGACUAAAAGUCAAGGCUAGUACAAGAACUAAGAAACCUUGAUUGAAAGUCAAGGUUAGUACAAGAAUAUAAGGUGCACAAUUAGACGUUCCCGAUGAUAAUAAUUAUUACGCGAAUAACAUGAUACACUAUCUCAUAAUGUAUUUAAUUAGUAAGAUAAUGAUUUGAGCACGAGAGACUGCAUGCGAGCCACCCAUCAGGUCAUACUAGAGACACCAGAGCAUAGACGACUUGCAAGAGUUGCUGCUAUUGCCAAUCAUGUCACAAGACUCGGAGUGAGUGAUCGACAUAGGAUGUACACUUAUGUUAUUUCUUUGGGGUUUAGACUUGAGACUUUGUUUAUGACUUUAUGUCACACUUGAUUUCAUGAUUUGGUUUGCCCACGUGUUUAGGCCCAUUUAUUUUGAAAUAAUUGUUAAGGUUUGAACAACUUAUUUCCAUUGAGUUUGAUUUUUAUUUUUAAUUUGAGUCUUUCGUCCAUCUCGAGAUAAUUUGAUCAUUUAUUAAAUACUAAAAAUUCAGGGUGGUUCAGUUAAUGUGUUAACCUUUCUCAUGGAUCAGGUUAUGUAUGGUACAGUGGUGAUGGUAGUAGAUGGAAAGCAUUUU